rnacentral:rRNA from 1 species
AUGUCGAUGUCGAGCCACCGACUGCUACUGGAGAGACGGCAAGACGCCGCGCCGGUGAAGAUGAAAAUGGUCCCGCCCAGACUACGAAAUCGGCAGCAGCGUGGUAGCAUAGUACCGCCCCACGGUGGGCACCAACUGUCGUGGUAUUCUCACGGGGGGCUUGCGAGUCGACAGAUGCCACAAGGGCUUAGUGUGAGGGUAAGACUGCUGCUGAUAGGCCCGGGAGCGGGUAUGCGAGUAGCACGCGCUAGUUUACCCAGGUUCGGGGCUCUCCGGAGAGAUAAUACCCCUACUCCUGCAUGUCUGAGUAUAUGUGGUAUAUCUGGUACAGAGUUGCUCCUGGAGCUGUAUCUAAGCUCAGUGCCAUAUGCAUCUGGCUUUGUAUAUGUCUCAUAUGUGGCAUGCUCUAGUGGCCGGCCAUGCUCAUGGUUCGUGGCCGUGAGCAUGUGUGUGCUCGUGCGUGAGUGCAUGUGA